rnacentral:rRNA from 1 species
AGAGUUUGAUCCUGGCUCAGAUUGAACGCUGGCGGCAUGCCUUACACAUGCAAGUCGAACGGUAGAGGGGCAACCCUUGAGAGUGGCGAACGGGUGAGUAAUGCAUCGGAACGUGCCCAGUCGUGGGGGAUAACGCAGCGAAAGCUGUGCUAAUACCGCAUGUGAUCUGUGGAUGAAAGCAGGGGACUUGGUAGCAAUACUGGGCCUUGUGCGAUUGGAGCGGCCGAUGUCAGAUUAGCUAGUUGGUAGGGUAAGAGCCUACCAAGGCGACGAUCUGUAGCUGGUCUGAGAGGACGACCAGCCACACUGGGACUGAGACACGGCCCAGACUCCUACGGGAGGCAGCAGUGGGGAAUUUUGGACAAUGGGCGCAAGCCUGAUCCAGCAAUGCCGCGUGCAGGACGAAGGCCUUCGGGUUGUAAACUGCUUUUGUACGGAGCGAAACGGUCUGGGUUAAUACCCUAGGCUAAUGACGGUACCGUAAGAAUAAGCACCGGCUAACUACGUGCCAGCCGCCGCGGUAAUAC